GAUGAAGAACGUAGCGAAAUGCGAUAAGUAGUGUGAAUUGCAGAAUUCAGUGAAUCAUCGAAUCUUUGAACGCACAUUGCGCCCCAUGGUAUUCCGUGGGGCAUGCCUGUUCGAGCGUCAUUUACCCCCUCAAGCUCCGCUUGGUGUUGGGCGUCUGUCCCGCUUCGCGCGCGGACUCGCCCCAAAGGUAUUGGCAGCGGUCGUGCCAGCUUCUCGCGCAGCACAUUGCGCUUCUCGAGGCACCGGUGGGCCCGCGUCCAUCAAGCUCACCCCCCCAGUUUGACCUCGGAUCAGGUAGGGAUACCCGCUGAACUUAAGCAUAUCAAUAGCGGAGGA
rnacentral:misc_RNA from 1 species